rnacentral:rRNA from 1 species
UGCAAGUCGACGGCAGCACGGGAGCUUGCUCCUGGUGGCGAGUGGCGAACGGGUGAGUAAUGCGUCGGAACGUGCCGAGUAGUGGGGGAUAACUAUCCGAAAGGAUAGCUAAUACCGCAUACGCUCUGAGGAGGAAAGCAGGGGAUCUUAGGACCUUGCGCUAUUUGAGCGGCCGACGUCUGAUUAGCUAGUUGGUGAGGUAAAGGCUCACCAAGGCAUCGAUCAGUAGCGGGUCUGAGAGGAUGAUCCGCCACACUGGGACUGAGACACGGCCCAGACUCCUACGGGAGGCAGCAGUGGGGAAUUUUGGACAAUGGGCGCAAGCCUGAUCCAGCCAUGCCGCGUGUCUGAAGAAGGCCUUCGGGUUGUAAAGGACUUUUGUCAGGGAGGAAAUCCCUAGCGCUAAUAUCGCUGGGGGAUGACAGUACCUGAAGAAUAAGCACCGGCUAACUACGUGCCAGCAGCCGCGGUAAUACGUAGGGUGCAAGCGUUAAUCGGAAUUACUGGGCGUAAAGCGUGCGCAGGCGGUUGUGUAAGUCUGAUGUGAAAGCCCCGGGCUCAACCUGGGAACUGCAUUGGAGACUGCACAGCUAGAGUGCGUCAGAGGGGGGUAGAAUUCCGCGUGUAGCAGUGAAAUGCGUAGAGAUGCGGAGGAAUACCGAUGGCGAAGGCAGCCCCCUGGGAUGACACUGACGCUCAUGCACGAAAGCGUGGGGGAGCAAACAGGAUUAGAUACCCUGGUAGUCCACGCCCUAAACGAUGUCAACUAGCUGUUGGGGGUUUGAAUCCUUGGUAGCGUAGCUAACGCGAGAAGUUGACCGCCUGGGGAGUACGGCCGCAAGGUUAAAACUCAAAGGAAUUGACGGGGACCCGCACAAGCGGUGGAUGAUGUGGAUUAAUUCGAUGCAACGCGAAAAACCUUACCUGGUCUUGACAUGUACAGAACUUUCCAGAGAUGGAUUGGUGCCCGAAAGGGAGCUGUAACACAGGUGCUGCAUGGCUGUCGUCAGCUCGUGUCGUGAGAUGUUGGGUUAAGUCCCGCAACGAGCGCAACCCUUGCCAUUAGUUGCUACCAUUUAGUUGAGCACUCUAAUGGGACUGCCGGUGACAAACCGGAGGAAGGUGGGGAUGACGUCAAGUCCUCAUGGCCCUUAUGACCAGGGCUUCACACGUCAUACAAUGGUCGGUACAGAGGGUAGCCAAGCCGCGAGGUGGAGCCAAUCUCAUAAAACCGAUCGUAGUCCGGAUCGCACUCUGCAACUCGAGUGCGUGAAGUCGGAAUCGCUAGUAAUCGCAGAUCAGCAUGCUGCGGUGAAUACGUUCCCGGGUCUUGUACACACCGCCCGUCACACCAUGGGAGUGAGUUUCACCAGAAGUGGGUAGGCUAACCGUAAGGAGGCCGCUAC